UUGGAAACUGGGGGACUUGAGUGCUGGAGAGGGGAGUGGAAUUCCCCGUGUAGCGGUGAAAUGCGUAGAUAUGUGGAGGAACACCAGUGGCGAAGGCGGCUUUCUGGACCGUAACUGACGCUGAGGCGCGAAAGCGUGGGGAGCAAACAGGAUUAGAUACCCUGGUAGUCCACGCCGUAAACGAUGAGUGCUAGGUGUUGGGGG
rnacentral:rRNA from 1 species